CAAAUGACUCUCGGCAACGGAUAUCUCGGCUCACGCAUCGAUGAAGAACGUAGCAAAAUGCGAUACUUGGUGUGAAUUGCAGAAUCCCGUGAACCAUCGAGUUUUUGAACGCAAGUUGCGCCCGAAGCCUUUUGGCCGAGGGCACGUCUGCCUGGGCGUCACAC
rnacentral:rRNA from 7 species